AAGGAUUUAAGUUAAAUAAACUAAUAACCUUCAAAGUUAAAAAUAGCCCGUCUAACCCUUG
rnacentral:tRNA from 2 species